GGCCUCGAUACUGUCUGUCGAGCUUGCUCCAGACUUAUCAUAUCCAUAACACCUGUGCACUUGUCGGAUGGCUUACUGAAGACCGCAAGGUUGGAACUAUCCAUCUACUUUACAUAACAAUUUAGUAACAAAUGUAGUCUUAUUAUAACAUAAUAAAACUUUCAACAACGGAUCUCUUGGCUCUCGCAUCGAUGAAGAACGCAGCGAAAUGCGAUAAGUAAUGUGAAUUGCAGAAUUCAGUGAAUCAUCGAAUCUUUGAACGCACCUUGCGCUCCCUGGUAUUCCGGGGAGCAUGCCUGUUUGAGUGUCAUGAAAACCCUCAACCUUAGAUUGGUUAACACCUUUCUUUGGCUUGGAUUUGGACGUUUGCCGAUGAUAAGUCGGCUCGUCUUAAAAGUAAUAGCUGGAUCUGUCUCGCGACAUGGUUUGACUUGGCGUAAUAAGUAUUUCGCUAAGGACAUCUUCGGAUGGCCGCGUUGCAAGACUAAAGACCGCUUUCUAAUCCAUUGAUCUUCGGAUUAAUAUUCUUGACAUCUGGCCUCAAAUCAGGUAGGACUACCCGCUGAACUUAAGCAUAUCAAUAAGCGGAGGAA
rnacentral:rRNA from 1 species